rnacentral:misc_RNA from 1 species
CAACCCUCGAACCCCCCCGGGGGUCCGGCGUUGGGGAUCGGGGACCCCUAAGACGGGAUCCCGGCCCCGAAAUACAGUGGCGGUCUCGCCGCAGCCUCUCCUGCGCAGUAGUUUGCACAACUCGCACCGGGAGCGCGGCGCGUCCACGUCCGUAAAACACCCAACUUUCUGAAAUG